GAUGAAGAACGUAGCGAAAUGCGAUAAGUAAUGCGAAUUGCAGAAUUCCGUGAGUCAUCGAAUCUUUGAACGCACAUUGCGCCCUUUGGCAUUCCGAAGGGCAUGCCUGUUCGAGCGUCAUUUAUCAACCCUCAAGCCCGGCUUGCGGUUGGGUCCCGCCGUGGGCGACCACGGCGGACCCGAAAGGUAAUGGCGGUGCCCGUGGGGCCCUGGACGCAGCGAGCUUCUCGGCACGCGUCCCGGCGGUCCCCGGCGCCGUCUCCACCAAUACACCACGCAGAUUGACCUCGGAUCAGGUAGGGAUACCCGCUGAACUUAAGCAUAUCAAUAAGCGGAGGA
rnacentral:misc_RNA from 1 species